rnacentral:rRNA from 1 species
UACGUAGGUGGCAAGCGUUGUCCGGAAUUACUGGGCUUAAAGGGUGCGUAGGCGGCGCGGAAAGUUGGGUGUGAAAUCCCUCGGCUCAACCGAGGAACUGCGCCCAAAACUACCGUGCUUGAGGGAGAUAGAGGUGAGCGGAACUUAGGGUGGAGCGGUGAAAUGCGUUGAUAUCCUAAGGAACACCCGUGGCGAAAGCGGCUCACUGGGUCUCUUCUGACGCUGAGGCACGAAAGCUAGGGUAGCGAACGGG